rnacentral:rRNA from 1 species
UACGUAGGCAGCGAGCGUUGUUCGGAGUUACUGGGCGUAAAGGGUGUGUAGGCGGUUCUUUAAGUUUGGUGUGAAAUCUCCCGGCUCAACCGGGAGGGUGCGCCGAAUACUGAGGGACUAGAGUAUGGGAUGGGAAAGUGGAAUUCCUGGUGUAGCGGUGAAAUGCGUAGAUAUCAGGAGGAACACCUGUGGUGUAGACGGCUUUCUGGACCACAACUGAUGCUGAGACACGAAAGCGUGGGUAGCAAACAGG